UUGUUUUUGGGUUUUAUGACUGACUCCCUCCCCAAUCACUUUACUCGGUAUCUUCCAAAUUUGGGCGUGUGUUUUCCACCGUACCUCAAAAACCCUACAUCAAAGAUGUCGGGAGCCAAUUUCUCUCAAUUUUUGGUAGGGCCGGCGCAGAGCUUCACCGGGAUUCACGUUGAAAAUAUGAACUUGGCGAGCGUAAACUUUUGGGACAGUGGUCAUGCGUAUUGGAUUAUUGUUCGUGCACAGUACGGCGAAACGCUUUUACGACUGCUUGAAAAGCUAUACCUGGAUGAUCUUGCAGAUUGCUCACACUUCGGAUGUCACAAGAGCUGUUUGGUGAUGCCACAGGUUCUAUAAAGACGGUCGAUCCACCCAUUUAUUUUCAUUGCAUCAAGCAGGAAGUGGGGCAAUACGUUGUGACCUUCCCUGGUGCAUACCACGGCUGUUAAUGUGACCAAUUUCGCAGAAGCUAUAAAUUUCUGUAUGGCUGAGUAGGAGAGUUACGAAAACAACUCCGAGUGCACAUGUCAGAAAGGAAUGAGAGCUGUUGGAGAGCAAUUCAAUUUGCCGGCAGCAGCUAUUACACCUCCCGUUCACACAAGUUGAACCUGGCGUCGCACCAGUGGACCACAUUGGUACGUAUGUCGUUUUACGUUGCAUUUUUAAAAUUCAAAAAUCAUAUAUUUUUUUUUUUUUAGAUUUCGACAGUGACGGUUCUGCAAACGACGUUAUUGAUGUACACGGUCGCAGCAGGAUGUUUUAACUGAUAUAUCACACGGAAGAGCUGCUUUGACAUCUUCUUUACGGCCAGUACUCGAGCUUCUUUGGGGGUCGACUUUGCUGUCGACCUAGAAGAGGGCGAACUAGAAGCAGAGAGGUUACCUGUGGUAUACACCACUAUUGAAGACGGGCUUGGAAUGAUUAUCCUUUUUCCGGCGGACAUUCACCUGUUGGACGCGGGGCAGAAGUUGAACGACAGGUACAAUUUCCGCCAACUCCUAUAGUUAUUUUCUCCAUUUAUAACAUUUACUUUAAUUUCCUCGUCCUUUUUUAUUUUGUUUUGUGUGUGUUCUACUGUUUCAUCGUUGACGGCUGUUUGGCUUACGUGAUGCGUGUAUUUCUGAUUAUUAUGAAAAAUCCCUUUGUUUGUUCUACUCCCCCAUCCCCUAAGAACAUAUACCCAAUUACCCAUCCUUUCGGAAUAAAUGGAAAAAUACCUGCGUUAACAUUGAUGGUGGCAAAAAUGCGGACAAGGGAAAGAGACUGCUGGAAUACGACAACAUUCUCAUUCCCACAUGAGAAAAUGACCACUGGCUAUUUUUUCACGUUUUAUACGACAGAAAGUAUAAUAGGUGAGUGAGUGUUUUGGUAGGGCUAUCAAAUUUUUUAACUGUAUGUGUUUCAACUUUUUGUAUAUUGUUUAUGUCAGAGUGCUGCUGUACAUUUAUGAUUCCGAUGAGUAAACAAGUAGAAAAACAAACGCCCUGACACGUUAAAUGCAUAGCUUCAUAGUUUGGGAGAUACGUAACUAUUUUAACAAGGAAAUUGGGAAACUGUACGAGGAUGUGAGUACCAUUAAAGGUAACGGUACCUAUGCAAUUCCAGGGAUCGCAGGACUGCGGGGCAUUUACCAUCUACUUCGCUGUCAAGCUGUUGACUGUAAGUGGACACAAAUGUCACAUUUAUUUUCCCGGUGUAUUGCUUUUCAUGGGUCUCAAUGUGAAUCAACUGUUAGGUUAUCCUUUGUGUGACUGUGCACGGAAGCCAUCGAGCGUUUAAGCCGGGAAAGUAAGACCGAUAAUGAUUACGGUACCUUGGAUAGACAGUUGAUUAGACUGCUUUUACUCCAGCCGAACGGUAGGUUAUCAGUUGUCGUGUUAGUGAACGUUAAACAUUUAAGAUUUUAAAUGUAAGCUAAAAUGUUUCCUGUUAGAUGAGUCUAUAUCAACAUUGCAAGAUGUGACUAGACGACAACAGCUGGAUACUCUUGCGGUUGUCUUUAUCGUCGGCUGUGCUGUUCGACUA